AACGCGAAGAACCUUACCUGGCCUUGACAUGUCGAGAACUUUCCAGAGAUGGAUUGGUGCCUUCGGGAACUCGAACACAGGUGCUGCAUGGCUGUCGUCAGCUCGUGUCGUGAGAUGUUGGGUUAAGUCCCGCAACGAGCGCAACCCUUGUCAUUAGUUGCUACGAAAGGGCACUCUAAUGAGACUGCCGGUGACAAACCGGAGGAAGGUGGGGAUGACGUCAAGUCCUCAUGGCCCUUAUGGGUAGGGCUUCACACGUCAUACAAUGGUCGGGACAGAGGGUCGCCAACCCGCGAGGGGGAGCCAAUCCCAGAAACCCGAUCGUAGUCCGGAUCGCAGUCUGCAACUCGACUGCGUGAAGUCGGAAUCGCUAGUAAUCGCGGAUCAGCAUGUCGCGGUGAAUACGUUCCCGGGCCUUGUACACACCG
rnacentral:rRNA from 1 species